AUACGGAGGGUGCAAGCGUUGUCCGGAUUUAUUGGGUUUAAAGGGUGCGCAGGCGGUGCGUUAAGUCAGUGGUGAAAUCUUCCGGCUCAACCGGGAAACUGCCAUUGAUACUGGCGCACUUGAGUACGGACGAGGUAGGCGGAAUUUAUGGUGUAGCGGUGAAAUGCAUAGAUACCAUAAAGAACACCGAUAGCGAAGGCAGCUUACCAGACCGUAACUGACGCUCAGGCACGAAAGCGUGGGGAGCAAACAGGAUUAGAAACCCCAGUAGUCC
rnacentral:rRNA from 1 species